rnacentral:rRNA from 1 species
CAGGGAAUAUUCCACAAUGGGCGCAAGCCUGAUGGAGCAAUGCCGCGUGCAGGAUGAAGGCCUUAGGGUCGUAAACUGCUUUUAUACGGGAAGAUUUUGACGGUACCGUUUUGAAUAAGCCUCGGCUAACUCCGUGCCAGCAGCCGCGGUCAUACGGAGGAGGCAAGCGUUAUCCGGAAUUACUGGGCGUAAAGAGAUGCGUAGGCGGCCUGCCAAGCAGAUAGUGAAAUCCUGUGGCUCAACCACAGGACUAUUAUCUGAACUGGUAGGCUUGAGAGCGGAAGAGGUAACUGGAAUUCCCGGUGUAGGAGUGAAAUCCGUAGAUAUCGGGAGGAACACCAAUGGCGAAGGCAGGUUACUGGUCCGUUUCUGACGCUCAGGCUCGAAAGCGUGGGGAGCGAACGG